GGUUAAGUGACUAAGCGUACACGGUGGAUGCCCUGGCAGUCAGAGGCGAUGAAGGACGUAUUAACUUGCGAUAAGCCCAGAUUAGGUAGUAAAAACCAUUUGAGUCUGGGAUUUCCGAAUGGGGAAACCCAAUACCAUAAGGUAUUACUGUUGAGUGAAUACAUAGCUCAACAGGGCGAACCGGGGGAACUGAAACAUCUAAGUACCCCGAGGAAAAGAAAUCAACCGAGAUUCCGAAAGUAGCGGCGAGCGAAAUUGGACUAGCCCUUAAGCUUUACACGCGUUAGACGAACGGUCUGGAAAGUCCGACGAUACAGGGUGAUAGUCCCGUAGUUGACGACGUGUGUUCAGUGAAAUCGAGUAGGGCGGGACACGUGAUAUCCUGUCUGAAUAUGGGGGGACCAUCCUCCAAGGCUAAAUACUACUGACUGACCGAUAGUGAACCAGUACCGUGAGGGAAAGGCG
rnacentral:rRNA from 1 species